GACGAACGCUGGCGGCGUGCCUAAUACAUGCAAGUAGAACGCUGAAGGAGGAGCUUGCUUCUCUGGAUGAGUUGCGAACGGGUGAGUAACGCGUAGGUAACCUGCCUGGUAGCGGGGGAUAACUAUUGGAAACGAUAGCUAAUACCGCAUAAUAGUAGAUGUUGCAUGACAUUUGCUUAAAAGGUGAAAUUGCAUCACUACCAGAUGGACCUGCGUUGUAUUAGCUAGUUGGUGAGGUAACGGCUCACCAAGGCAACGAUACAUAGCCGACCUGAGAGGGUGAUCGGCCACACUGGGACUGAGACACGGCCCAGACUCCUACGGGAGGCAGCAGUAGGGAAUCUUCGGCAAUGGACGGAAGUCUGACCGAGCAACGCCGCGUGAGUGAAGAAGGUUUUCGGAUCGUAAAGCUCUGUUGUAAGAGAAGAACGAGUGUGAGAGUGGAAAGUUCACACUGUGACGGUAUCUUACCAGAAAGGGACGGCUAACUACGUG
rnacentral:rRNA from 1 species